ACCAGAUACUUCUUUGAAAACAUUGUCAGCCCUCCUCUUUGAGAGCUCAGCUUAUAAAGUUGUUGCUGAUAGAUUUAUGUACAGCUCCUGCAGGACUUUAAUGACUUGGCUACAGUUCCUCUCUGGAAUUCUGAUUCUGAUUUAUGGUUUGCUUGACUCAGGAUUGUUUAAAACUCACAGUUAUCUUGCUCCUGGCCACAGUCGGUGUCUCUUGGCUGUGAACAGCUUAUGAUUCUAGAUUUCGACGUCUUGUUCAAAGUUAAGAGCAGGACUAAUUGGGCUACUAAGAAGCAAAUUGAGAAUACAGAUAUAAUGUAUAGAAAAACCAUGAACAAAGUAAAAAACUUUACAAGAAUGCUGGAAAAAAUUGUUGGAAAUGCCAGGAUCAUCCAUAUGUGGUGGACUUGUAAGAAAACUUCUACUUAUUGGACAAGGAUACAUGAAGGGUUUCAAAAUAAAUUCAAAAGAACUUUCCCAAAAAAACCAGAAUAUUACUUUUUAGGCUUACUAGAUAAGGAUCUGAUUUUGACAAAGAAUGGGGACAUUUUGUUUACAUAUUUGACAACUGCCACAAGGAUCGUCUAUGCAAAAACUUGGAAAUUACAGGAAACACCAGAGUUGGACCAUUGGAGAAAUAAAGUAAGGGAAGUAAAAGACAUGGACCAAUUGAAUUUUUUACUGAAAAAAAACUUGGGAAACCCUAUAAAGCAAACCGACUGGGAACCGGUAGAGAAUUAUUUUAGAAGAACGAAGAAUUAAAAGAUUAUUAUCAACGGGAGAAGAACUAGGGUCAGAAGGACAAAAUGAGCAUUUUUAGAGGAAAGAAAGAAGAAGAACCAAACCGCUAAGGAUUAGAAGAAAGCCAUUUUAUUAUUCAUUUAGGUUUUUUUUCUUUUUCUUUUUUCUUUUUUUUAUUUUUUUAUUUUUUUUCUAUUUUUUCUCUUUUCUAUUUUGUUUACUUUUUCUCCUUUUUUCUUUUUCUUGUUCCCCUUUUUUUCCGGUUUUCCCCUCCCCUACACCCCUUCACUUUUUUUCACCCAUCUUUCCUAUCAUGUUAUUGUUCCCACACUUUCACUGUAUAUUAACUUUGAUACUUUAAUAAAAACUAUAAUGACAAACAAAGUAAAAAACUUGGUAUUAUACUAAAUUUCCUUUGACCAGAAGCUGGCCACUUGGAGUGCCUCUGGUGUUGCUAUAAGAAGGUCCUCCAUGGUGCAUGUG
rnacentral:lncRNA from 11 species